ensembl:lncRNA
CCCCAAAUCCCAUUGAAGUGACCCCAAAUCCCAUUAAUGGACCCCAAAUCCCAUUAAAGUGACCCCAAAUCCCAUUAAUGGACCCCAAAUCCCAUUAAUGGACCCCAAAUCCCAUUAAAGUGACCCCAAAUCCCAUUAAUUGACCCCAAAUCCCAUUAAUGGACCCAAAAUCCCAUUGAAGUGACCCCAAAUCCCAUUAAUGGACCCCAAAUCCCAUUAAUUGACCCCAAAUCCCAUUAAAGUGACCCCAAAUCCCAUUGAAUGACCCCAAAUCCCAUUGAAGUGACCCCAAAUCCCAUUAAUUGACCCCAAAUCCCAUUAAAGUGACCCCAAAUCCCAUUGAAGUGUCUCCAAAUCCCAUUAAUGGACCCAAAAUCCCAUUAAUUGCACCCCAAAUCCCAUUAAAGUGACCCCAAAUCCCAUUAAUGGACCCCAAAUCCCAUUGAAGUGACCCCAAAUCCCAUUAAUGGACCCCAAAUCCCAUUAAAGUGACCCCAAAUCCCAUUGAAUGACCCCAAAUCCCAUUAAUGGACCCAAAAUCCCAUUAAAGUGACCCCAAAUCCCAUUGAAGUGACCCCAAAUCCCAUUAAUGGACCCCAAAUCCCAUUGAAGUGACCCCAAAUCCCAUUAAAGUGACCCCAAAUCCCAUUGAAGUGACCCCAAAUCCCAUUAAUUGACCCCAAAUCCCAUUGAAUGACCCCAAAUCCCAUUGAAGUGACCCCAAAUCCCAUUAAAGUGACCCCAAAUCCCAUUAAUGGUCCCCAAAUCCCAUUAAAG